AGCCUGGCUCCCUGCUUGCCACCCUGUGCCUGCAGAUGUGCCACUGUCCGUGGGAGUGAUAGAACCCCAAGUGCUGCUCUCACAACUCAACAUGGUGGAGUUUCACUGGGACCCAACAAAGAGGACAUCUCUCUUCCUGCAGUUCACACCUCGGAAGAAAGGUGGAGAGAAAGGCAUCCCUUUCCGCCUCCAGAUCGACACCUUCAGGCCCAGUGACAAGGGGCUGCCGCUAGACCACCUGCACUCAGCUGGCUGCCUCAUCAAGGUGUUUAAGCACAAAGGAGCGGAAACUGAAAAUGGACCGUGAGAAGAUGGAGAAACAGCCCCUGCAUGAGAGGGACAAGUAUCAGACCGCCUGCGAGAGCACUGUCUUCUUGGAGUGUUCGCCAUGGCCGGAGUCCCCUGCAAGGCCCCGGCCACCUCUCAGCUCUCUGGCUCUGACCUCUCCCCACUCCUGCAGGCUCUUGUCCCCAGAAAGGCUCUGUUCCUCACCACCAUUCGCUCUGGAUACCUUGGGGUGUAGCCCAGUUGAGGAUCUGAACCAAAAAGCCCCCAUCUCAGAGACACAGCAAUGGUUGCAUCAGCACUGGUUCUCCAGCUACUGCCGGAUGCUGGCCAACUUCACUGGUCUGGAUCUGCUGAAGCUUACAUGCCAGGACCUUAUCCAAAUCUGCGGGGCUGCUGAUGGGAUCCGCCUUUUCAAUACUCUUAGAGCCAGGUGCUGGACACUGCCAACCAGGGUCCCCUUCCCACUGUAGUGGCCCUUACUAACUUAGCUAGCAGGUAUGUUUCAUACAAUUUUUUUUUUAAUAUGGAGUUUCACUCUUGUUGCCCAGGCUGGAAUGCAAUGGCGCAAUCUUGGCUCACUGCAACCUCUGCCUCAGGUUCAAGUGAUUAUCCUGCCUCAGCCUCCUGAGUAGCUGGGAUUACAGGCGUCUGCCACCAUGCCUGGCCAAUUUUUUUUUUUUUUUUUUUUUUGAGACGGAGUCUUUUGCCCAGGCCGGACUGCAGUGGCACUAUCUCGGCUCACUGCAAGCUCCGCCUCCUGGGUUCACGCCAUUUUCCUGCCUCAGCCUCCCGAGUAGCUGGGACUACAGGCGCCUGCCACCGCGCCCGUCUAAUUUUUUGUAUUUUUAGUAGAGACGGGGUUUCACCACGUUCGUCAGGCUGGUCUUGAACUCCUGACCUCAGGUGAUCCACCUGCUUUGGCCUCCCAAAGUGCUGGGAUUACAGGAGUGAGCCACUGCACCCGGCUCAUACAAUGUUUAAGCCAGAAGUCACCUUAAAGACCACUUAGUCCCACUCCCUCUUUUUACAGAAGAAACUCAGGCCCAAGAAGGACAGUGACCAGUCUGAGGUCACAACCCAAAGCUGGCAGGGCUGGGGUGAAAAGCUAGGCUCCUGUGACCUCCUUCUGUGGCCAUCCCACCUGCCUCAUUCCAUUUCUGGGGAUAGAGAUGUCUGUGGGGUUUUUUCCUCCCCAUUUUUUCUCCCCCUAGUGUCCAGCAUUCGUUAAAUACCUAAGAACUACUUAGUGACCUCCCUCCCUCGAGACCUGGGAGGAGGCUGGGAUCUCUCCUAGGAUGGGGGCUAGAAGUGGGAGCUGUUAGUUCAGGUAUAAGACUGAUACAUAGACUGUUUUCCUGGCCCAGGCCCAUCUGUCACCAACUGACUUUGUAUGUGGCUCAGGAGACCUCUAGGCAAGGGAACGAGGUUCCUAAGAACCCUGACUCAGGUGAGGUUCUGGCCUCUCUCUCCAGAACAUAGGAAAUUCAGGUGUAGCUGCAUGAAACCUCUCCCUAGAAGAGGAAUGGUGAUACCCCACCAUUCCUGGGACCCAGGAUGCCCUUCUUGGCAUUUCCCUACCUUCCAUGACCAGAUUAGUCCCUCUCCUUCCAGAAUGUCUCCUUGGGUUUAUUCACCAUGUUCUACUCCUCCACCCCACCUGAUCGUCACUGCAUUAGCAUAUGGGAUUAGAACAUCAUCUUGUUAUGUACUUGGGUCCCAGUCACUAAUAUGUGGGUGUCCUGUCUUUAAACUGGGGGUUCCCCUCAGACACCUCCCAAAAGAUGAGGGAUGAGAGGUGAAGUAGACUUUUUUCUUUUUUUUUUUUUUUUGAGACGGAGUCUCACUCUGUUGCCCAGGCUGGAGUGCAGUGGCGCGAUCUCAGCUCACUGCAACUUCUGCCACCCAGGUUCAAGAGAUUCUCCUGCCUCAGCCUCCCAAGUAGUUGGGAUUACAGGAGCCUGCCACCAUGCCCAGCUAAUUUUUGUAGUUUUUAGUAGAGAUGGGGUUUCACCAUCUUGGCCAGGCUGGUCUUGAACUCCUGACCUCGUGAUCCACCCCUCGGCCUCCCAAAGUGCUGGGAUUACAGGCAUGAGCCACCACACCCAGCCAACUUUUCCCUCUUUACUUCUCCUCCCCCCACCCCAUAGCCAUCUUCCUGGCACCCCUGGUUUCCUGUGGGCACAUCUCUGGACUCCCUUCCCCUGCUGACCCCUGCCUCUGUGUUGCCCAUGCCCCCAGACUUUUAUCAAGAGAUCUCUCUGGAUGAACUCAGUGCUGUAGAGCUGAUGGGGAAACUGGCUGAGCUCUGGCCAUCCCAGCCAAUCAGAUCCAUCACCUUUUCCACCAGGGCACCGGGGGCAUCUUCAUUCUCCUCAGUGACCAGAUAAAGGGCAGCCAUUUCCUGUCGCAAAUCCCCACGGAGGCCUCGCUAACACUUCUGCCUCAGAUUAAGCUUUCUUUUCCAUGGCAUGGCUUGUUCUCUUUGGCUCCAAUAACAAAAUUGCCUUUGUGCCCGCUUCACUCUUACAGGUGGUCCAGAAUUUUAAGGACGAAUCAUACUUUGUGGCUGUGGUGAAAAAAGGGAUUUUAGAGGCAGAGGAGUGUGCCUGGCUGGCCCUAUAAAGGGGGAUAAGAGUGUGCUGAGCAUAUAUUCCGUCUCCUAAAUGAGACUAAAAGGCUCUUUGGGGGCCAGGCGCAGUGGCUCAUGCCUGUAAUCCCAGCACUUUGGGAGGCUGAGGCAGGUGGAUCACUUGAGGACAGGAAUUCAAAACCAGCCUGGCCAACAUGGCAAAACCCCAUCUCUAUAAAAAAUACAAAAAACUACCCGGGCGUGCUGGCACGUGCCCGUGGUCCCAGCUACUUGGGAGGCUGAGGCAGGAGAAUCCCUUGAACCCAGGAGGCAGAGGUUGCAGUGAACCGAGAUUGCCCCACUGCACUCCAGCCUGGGUGACAGAGCGAGUCUGUCUCAAACGUCUCAAAAACAAACAAACAAACAAAAAACCUCUUUGAAGGGGAUUAAGGGGAUGUGUCCCAAUUAACUAGCAAACACCUGUGAAUGCCAGCUUUGUGUCAAGGGGAGAGGGAUUUGUAUAGCUAAAAGAUAUUUAUUGCUUAGGAAAAACAUGACUGAAUAAAUGCAUCCUCAUUAAAUAAAAAAUGCUCCAGUUUCUGUUGUCAGGGAGUUUAUUAGAGGGAAAGGUAAGGCCCCCACUUUUCUCCACCUGCCCCUGGCAUGAUACAAGGCAGAAGGGCAGGUGCUUCCUGGACAUCAUCUGGCAUAGGGCACCUCUGACUAGUCUGCUUGGCAUCUGGUUAUUCAGAUGUUUGCCUUCCACCCCUCCACAUGCCAGAGCUGGUCAGCUUGGCUUAUGUACACAAGGGGGUAGGAAGAGGUAGAUGUGAAGUCGGGUUUUAAGACACGUGUGGCCGGGCGUGGUGGCUCACACCUGUAACCCCAGCACUUUGGGAGGCCGAGGUGGGCAGAUCAUGAGGUCAGGAGUUCAAGACCAGCCUGGCCAAAAUGGUGGAACCCCAUCUCUACUAAAAAUACAAAAAUUAGCCAGGCGUGGUGGCGGGCACUUGUAAUCCCAGCUCCUCGGGAGGCUGAGGCAGGAGAAUCGCUGGAACCCGGGAGGUGGAGGUUGCAGUGAACUAUCGUGCUACUGCACUCCAGCCUGGGUGACGAGCGAAACUUCACCUCAAAAAAAGAAAUAAAACAAAAAAACACUUGGGUGUGCCAGACGCAUUGUAGGCUGCUUGGAGGGUGAGGACCUGACUGGUCCUGCUGGUGCCUUUUUACUGCUUUCGGUGCAGAAUCCAGAUGGCUACUACUUGGUUCUGACCUAGGCCAGGGGAACUCCACUGCUCAAGAGACUGAUAGCUUGUCUUCACCAGAAACCUUGUUAAAACACUUGGCUGACUCAACAGGCUCCAGGUGAGCCAAAGUAUCUUGCAUCUCACCCCGAGAGGAGGCAAGUAGCCUCCAGCUUCACUUUUCUUUCUGGUCAGCAGCAAUGGCUGUUGGAAGUCUUCCUUACCCAUUCGUUCUUCUGAGCUGGCCAAGUUUAUGAGGCAAAAAAAAAAAAAAAAAAACUGGCAAUGUGGAAAGAGCUUUUGCCAUGAGCAGUGUUGGCUGGUGAUCACUGAGAGUGUUAAUUCAUUUAAAAAUUUUAAGCCCUUUUUAAAUUAAAAGUUAAUUUUUAAAAGGUAUAUACACUUAAUGUGUUGUCCAAUGUGUUGAACAUUUAAUGUGGUGUUCAGUUUUCUUGGCUUUAUUGUCCCCAAGGGGAAAUGUCUUCUGCUUAAACUAUAAACUAGGGCAAAGGAUGGGGUCUGGAACAAGGGAAUAAAUCAAUCCAGCUGGAUCUUUUUUUCACAAUUAGUUUGGGCAAAACUAAUUACUAAAGCCUCCAAAAGACCAUUCAAUAUUCAAAUCACUGUACCUACUAAAAAACUCAGUUCUAAGAGAUUUAGGAAAUACUAUAGCUAUUAUCUAGAAUUGAGGCUAUGGGGCUUUUAGAAAAAAAAAUUUAGACAUAUUGUUUCCUUAGUUUUAAGAGAUGAGGUCUCUGUUGUCCAGACUGGUCUUGAACUCUUGGUGUCAAGUGAUCCUUCCAUCUAAACUCUCAGUAGCUGGGAUUAUAGGUGUGCACCACUGUGCUUGACUUUUUUUUUUUUUUUACCUUAAAUUUUAUUAAUCUUUCCCUAAAGUCAUAAAUUUAAUUUUUUUUUUUUUUUUGAGAUGGGAGUCUUGCUCUGAUGCCCAGAGGUAGAGUGCAAUGGUGCAAUCAAUCUGGGCUCACUGCAACCUCCACCUCUAGGAUUCAAGC
rnacentral:lncRNA from 1 species